rnacentral:rRNA from 1 species
GAUGAACGCUGGCGGCGUGCCUAAUACAUGCAAGUCGAGCGAACGGACGAGAAGCUUGCUUCUCUGAUGUUAGCGGCGGACGGGUGAGUAACACGUGGAUAACCUACCUAUAAGACUGGGAUAACUUCGGGAAACCGUAGCUAAUACCGGAUAAUAUUUUUAACCGCAUGGUUCAAAAGUGAAAGACGGUCUUGCUGUCACUUAUAGAUGUAUCCGCGCUGCAUUAGCUAGUUGGUAAGGUAACGGCUUACCAAGGCAACGAUGCAUAGCCGACCUGAGAGGGUGAUCGGCAACACUGGAACUGAGACACGGUCCAGACUCCUACGGGAGGCAGCAGUAGGGAAUCUUCCGCAAAGGGCGAAAGCCUGACGGAGCAACGCCGCGUGAGUGAUGAAGGUCUUCGGAUCGUAAAACUCUGUUAUUAGGGAAGAACAUAUGUGUAAGUAACUGUGCACAUCUUGACGGUACCUAAUCAGAAAGCCACGGCUAACUACGUG